GACAGAGGGUGCAAACGUUGCUCGGAAUCACUGGGCGUAAAGGGCGUGUAGGCGGGUAGGUAAGUCGGGCGUGAAAUCCCUGGGCUCAACCCAGGAACUGCACUCGAAACUACUUUUCUUGAGUGCCGGAGAGGAAAGCGGAAUUCCUGGUGUAGAGGUGAAAUUCGUAGAUAUCAGGAGGAACACCAGUGGCGAAGGCGGCUUUCUGGACGGUAACUGACGCUGAGACGCAAAAGCGUGGGGAGCAAACAGG
rnacentral:rRNA from 1 species